rnacentral:lncRNA from 1 species
UUUUUUUUUUCCUAAAACAAUGAUAACAUUAAAUUUAUUUUAUAACUGAGGUAUAGUAUGUUAGACUGGGAUCUAACUGCUUUGAUGUCAUCAGAAUCUUUACACUGAAGAUUGCCUGGUUCCUUCUGCUGGUGUUGAAAAAUGCAUCCCCCUGGAUGAGCACGGCUUGUAUUUUCUGGGAUGUGGUAAGAUUCAGAAAGUGUAUUUUGUCCGGACUGAGUGUGGUGAUACAAACACAGUAAAUUCCAAUAUCUUUACAAAUUCUUGUCUCAUUUGGGAGAUGCAAGGGCAAUUUAUUUGACCACCCACCCAUCUUAUUUGCCUUCCUCAGGGAAAGAAACAUCAAGUCAUUUCUGCUCUAGGAAAGCUCUGAUGUAUUUUAAUCUGUUAUCUCCAUUACCGACUCCUGCUCAGUGCAGUAUCUGCUCCUAAAAAUGUAGGAGGACCUUGAAACUUCACUCCCCAGGCAUCAAGAAAAUGCUGAAGCAUACAAGAAGGAAGAGAUUGGGAAGAAAGGAUAUGAUAAGAAAAGAGAAAUGCAGUAACACAUAGAUCUGAAGAAAUUACAAGUUGGUGCAAUGUCUUUUGGGACUGUGAUAAUUGCAAUGAUUCCUUACCACAAAACCAAAGUUGCAUAUGAGAUUACUGAAGAAGAAAGGGCACAAUAGCAGAAGGAGGAGAAAACAAUGCUGGUAGAGGAAAAUAUGAUUUCCCUCAGAGACAAAACGAAUGCAAGAAGAAGUACGCGAGCAAAUUCAGAAAGCAACAAGUUCACUCAAUUCCAGAGAUUCUCUUCAGAGCAUACUUGAAGACAUCAGUGGGACUACAACAUUGUCAAAGAAUAUAAAAUUAUCUGUCAUGCCAGGCAUCUACAGAAAUGGUCUGCACAAAAUUUGGAGGCACGGUCAUCAUCUUCACUAUGGCUAUUCCUGUGAAAACAGAAACAUGAAUGUCAUCUUACUGAUUUACAGAGUAAUGAUGAAAGGUUUUUCUAUCACUGUAGUAGCAAUUUUUGCUGUUUGGAUUUUUGACCUAUGUUAGUUUACACAACCCUUCCUAUCAUUCAUAUAAGCUCAUUUAGUAUAGAUAUCUAUAGCUAUAGAUAGUAUAGAAUCAUAGAAUCAUUAAGGUUGGAAAAGACUUCUAAGUUCAUCUAGUCAAACCAUAAGCCCAUCACCACCAAGCCUACUAAAUCAUGUCCCUCAGUGACACAUCUACCCUUUCCUUGAAAACCUGCAUGGACGUUGAUCCCAUCACCUUCCUGGGUAGCCUGUUCCAAUGCCUUACCGUCCUUUCUGAGAAUAAAUUUUUCCUAAUUUCCAACCUUAAACUCUGCUAGUGCAACUCAUGGCCUUAACCUUUUUAUACACUGAAGAAUUUUUUUAUUCAGAUGAAACGAUUCAUUCCAUGCUACCUUUCUAAAAAGCUUUGCAUUGUCCUGAUUCUUGACUUGUAAGAGAAUCUUCACUAUAUAUAAGACGGUCAGAUCUUCAAGCCUUGCUUUGUGUAGCUUAUUCCAGUUUUUCUGCAGAUAUCUGAACUGUUUUGAUUCUGAUUCUGUCCUUAGUUAACUCAUCUUUCUCCAAGCGUGCUUCUAAUUUUGUCCACACUUUUGUGUCUGAGAACACUCUCAGUGAACUCUGUGCUAGUCCAGUCUUUUAAGUUUCAUAGUGCUUUUAUGAAAGGCUUAUGAGUAAGCAAAUUUUAUAGAUUUUCCUGCAAAAUCAGUGUGAGGUUACUCUGUGAAGCUGCGUGUAGGAACUUCAUGAAUCUCUCAAAUAAAAUGUUUUUGCGAAUUCUUUGCCACAUAUUUUCCUGGGGACUGGCUUUGUUUUGUUAAUAAUUCAUCACCUCUAUUUUAUACAUGUAUAGCUUUUCUGCAGUUCUUUUCAAAGUUUCAAAAGCUUAAUCAGUUAUUUGUACUAGUAAAACUUUUUUCUGGUUCUCAUAUGCUGUAUUAUUUACUCUAAGCAGACCAAAAGGAGGAUACAGAUCAGUAUCCUGUUUACCUGUUUGAUCUUAUUUUCUUCGUUGUUUUUUUUUUAAAUUCUAACUUACUAAAGAUUUACCUAUUUAACAAUGUUAAUAAAAUAUUAAAGUUUUUAAA